UUUUCAGCUAUUUAUACCCCUUCUUCCUACCCCCCUUAACCUACGCCUCCCAUUCAUUCUUCUUUUCUUUCUCUCUCCACUUUUUUUUUUUUUUUUCUUUUCUAGGGUUUUUUUUUUCAUAGCCCCUUUCAUCAUAUCUCUAUGAUUAUAUCAAAACCAUAUUAUAUAUACCAUUUUCUCGUAUAAUAUAUGGUUCUAUUUUUAUUUUUCCACAGCUUUCUUGAACUGCAUCUCUAUUUUUCAUGAUAUUUUUCAUGAUUUCGGUAAUUCUUGUAAAAAACAAAAUGUGAAAAUUCUGGGUUGCGGUUCAAUAAAGCUGUGGGAAGAUACAAAUAGAAUCACCCAAUUAUUCUCGAAGAAUUUUUAUUUAUUUGAUAGUAUAUUCAAGAAUCAAGAUCCAUCCUUUAUUAUUUGCUGAUGAUACGGGCGUGAGAUUUGGGUUCGAUUCGAGACUUAACAAAGUUCCAAGACAAAGAAAUAAUGUAGUCUUCAAAGGCAUUUCUUAUUACUUGUACUUGAGCUUAGCUUCUAUAUUAUGUUUGAUUAGUUUUUUAAAAUUGCAAUCUUUCUCAAUCAAAGAAGCUAACUAAAAGAGGGAGUAGGUGUUCAAAUAAGUGCUAAUUGCAUCAAAUUAUCAUAAUUACUUAUACCUACUUAAAUUUUGUGAUUAAAUGCUCUCUCUAUCUAGGGCAUGGAGAUAAUGUUCAAGUUUUUUCGACCACUAAAAAGUUAUAGAUAUGACACGACUUUAUCAAAAUAAUAUCCCUAUCGUCAAUUUUUAACCUAACAUAUCUAAGCGCGAUAUAUAUAUAUAUUGUUUAUUACUUUCCGAAGGAGGAAGUAAGUUGAUCCUAGGACAUGACAUGAAGAUAUCAAUGAAAGAGACUGUAUAGAGUUCCUUUACAACUAGACUAUGUGAUUGUAUAUGUAGUGUAGUUGUAAAGAAGUAUUAGAAGCAGAGAAUCUCUUGAUACUAUUGAAUGAAGAAACGGACCACGAUAUUAAUAGGUUUUGCUAGAUGACUUUGAUGAAUUUAUCCCCACAAAAAUGUGCAAAUUGUAUUUUAUUUGAUUUAUUUUUAAUUUUUAGGAGGCUUUUAAACCAUUCACAUGGAAACUAUGGGUUAGGUGAGGCUUUUAUGAUGAGAAAGGUACUUGUGAAUAUUGUGACUAAGAUAAAAACAAAAAUAACCAUCACUUUGCAUGAAUUUUAGGAGUUUAUCAUUCAUAUACAUGUAAAGAGCACAAUUUGGGAGCAAAAGGGAAUACUAUUAGCCUUUUGUUUGUUGGAAUUGAAUUUUUGGUAUUUUUUUCCUAGGGUGUGUAAAUCUUCAUGACCUUAAAUCCUACACUCAUGUUUAUCUUAUUCUUCUCAAUGAACAAAUCGUGCUUUUGUCA